AUCGGAGCAGAAGAAUAGCGCUAGCUCAUUCUGGCCGUGGGUAAUUCAGUCAGUGAAUGAGGGGAUAUGCUCUCUGCUUGUGCUUCAGUUGGACUUGAUGGUGGUGGUGGUGGAUGUGGUGGUGCUGCCUGUUUCGACAACUACCACCUCUCUGUGUUUUUUCCGUGAAAAGCACUCCGAGAUUGAGUGGAGAUGAUUUUUAUCUGUCAAAAUGUCUAAUAAAGACUCUAUUCCUUGGCUCCCUGGGAGAGAUCCAUGCACUUCCCCUGUCUGCCUGCUGGCUCGUCUAUUCUCGUGGAGCAAUAAUAACGAACACAGCAGAACUGGCUUCGUCCAAGACUACUUUGACUACUACUACAACGACUAGCACAACUACUGUGUACUAUUAUUACUACGACAAGUCGGUUCAUUGCUUCAUAGCUCAAUGUCUCAGCGUGUGAGAUGAUGAUCUCGUAAUUUUUUGAUUUGUCUCUGUCACCCUUGGACUCUUUAGUAUCCACAUAUACCGUACUCACUCGUUCCCUAUCUAGGCACUCUUUCUUUAUUCUGCUCCACGUUGACGGCCGUAUCCACUCUCGAUCCACCUCCUCCUUCAUCUCCUCAUGCAAGAAGAAGAGCAACAACAACAACAUCAACAACAACAGCAGCAGCAGCAAUAACGUUAAAUGCAGUCUGGAGAUUACGCCACAGGCAAUUUGGCAUUGUUUGAAAGAUUCUCGGAGACAGUUGGAGUUGGCAAUAACUUAGACUACUUAACCCAUGGCUUUGUGGUCGAUCAUCUCGGGGAUCAACCGUGGCUUUGAACUGCUGGAACAUGCCUGCCACAAUCAUGAAUGAGCCAACCAUCUCGUGGGGCGAGUGCUAGUCGAUCAGAAGAGAAUGUCGGAUAUUCAAGCCAUUGGCACGAACAUUUGGGAUUCGAUUGAGCUUGGGAAUUAACAAAGAGCAAGGAAACGAGGGACAAAUCAUGUCGCUUUUUGUCAUCGGAUGUGUAUUGGCAGGUACAAAUGGGUUCUGUUCUGGAUGAAGUUGCUCCGAAUCACGGAGGGCGAGGAACAGUUUUUUUUUUCACCAUGUGCCUGACACCAAAAAGUGCUCAAGAACUUUGCGAGCCAUCAUGAAGCUAUGGAAGGGUCCCGUUGGUGAUCUAUUCCUGUUGUGCGGGGAAGCACGACUCUUACCCACCAACCAUCAUGACCCGCUCUAUCUCUUUUAUUUGAAGACCUGGGGAAAAAUGGCCAAUUUAUUCUAAUUUGUGUCGGGUAAACGGUAUUAAAUGAGUUGAGCUCG